UACUUUCUUCCUCCUCUGACGAGCUGAGAGAUAAGGUGCUGUUCUUGGGGAAGGAAGCUGAGAGUGUGCAGGAGGACUUGCCCCAAAGGGCUGGAGCCUAGGACGGGGUUGUGGUGGACGGGGCGGGGCGGGGCGGGGUCAGGGGGUGCCUGGACCCAAGGCUCACCUGCGUCUGCAUGGGGACGCCCUCCGCCCCUCCAGACAGCCUGCGCUCAGAGAGGCCUGAGACCGGCUCUGUCCUUGCUGAUCAGCGAGAGCUCUUGGGUGAGUCAUUUAACCUCUGAGACUCAGGCUCCUCUGCGUAAAACGGGGACAAAAAGAAGUAAUUACAGACUUGCAGUGAGGAGUAAAUGAGAUAAUAGAGGUGGAAACAUUUCAUACAUGGUGAGACACUGUACAAAGUCAACGCUUUUAUGAUGAACUUUUUUGCAUGGACUUAGGGCGUUGAAGUGGCCUCUCUUCCAGUCCUGAACUAGCAGUCAGCAGCCCCGUGUCUGAGCCUCUCUGAGCCUCAGUGUCGCCUUCUGAGGCCGCCUCAAGGGGAGGGGUCAGCACUGACAUCGUUCCAAUCCUUCCUGCAGGCCUCACACCAGCCAGCAGCUUCUCACCGCCUGCCCUUCCCUGUGAGGAGAGGGCUCUGUCCCGCACCCCCUCCGGUCUUCAAUCUGCCUUCACCUCCAGCACUGAUAGAUCUUCUUGGCAAAGCUGCCUCCAAAGAUUCCUGCUAACGCUUGUCUGUUCCUGCAUUUUGCAAAGCAUGGCGCCCACAGCAUCUUAAACCCAGAUUGUCUGCAGCUGCUCCGGUGGACACUGCAGCUUCGCCCUCCUCCCUCUGGACUCCGGGAGCUGCGCCCGUCCUAGCGAUGCCCUCGAGACCCUCGGCCCCAGCUGGGUGAGACCCUUCCAGAGCAGGACCCGACCUUGCCACCCACCAAGACUCCCACGGUGCCCUCCACCACCUCCCAUGUCUGGCUGCCCAGGCAGUUUCUAGAAUGUCUGUGCCCCAGAUCCGAGGAGAAGACGCAGCCAGUGGGGAAGAAGGGCCGGCAGGCGCAGCCCCGCCUCCCGAUGACCACCUCCGGAGCCUGAAGGCCCUCACGGAGAAACUGAGGCUGGAGACCCGCAGGCCCUCCUACCUGGAAUGGCAGGCCAGGCUGGAGGAGCAGACGUGGCCCUUCCCGAGGCCGGUGGCCGGGCAGCGGGCCUGUGUGGAAGAGGGGCCCUCAGGCCCCCCAGGAGCGCCCAGGCGGCAUCCUCAACCUCAUGGGAUGGCCAGCCAGGAUGAUGGGGCCCCGUGCACGGGCAGGCUGGAGGGCUUCGAGAGCAUCGAUGAAGCUAUAGCCUGGCUCAGGAAGGAACUGACGGAGAUGCGGCUUCAGGACCAGCAGCUGGCCCGGCAGCUCAUGCGCCUGCGCAGUGACAUCCACAAGCUGAAGAUCGAGCAGACCUGCGACCUCCACCGGCGGAUGCUCAACGACGCCACCUACGAGCUGGAGGAGCGGGACGAGCUGUCCGACCUCUUCUGCGACGCCCCGCUCGCCUCCUCCUUCAGUCUCUCCGCGCCACUCAAGCUCAUUGGGGUCACCAAGAUGAACAUCAACUCCCGCAGGUUUUCUCUGUGCUGAGAAGCCCUAAACGGGGCGGUGGAGCCGGAAUGAGGGUUUGGGAGGUGGACGGUGGGGGGCGGCGGGGGGCGGGGCGUGGGAAGGAAGCUGAGGCCCAGCUACCCGAGCGGGUCUCCCCGGAGGCAGGGCGUCUCCGGGACCUGUGACACGUGCUCUCAGGGCCCAGCUGUGGAGCUCAGUGUCCCCAUGCCUGGCCCUGGUUUAAUACCCAAAGAGUCCUGCAGAAGGGCUGCCGCAUCCGCUGUUCAGUGAGACCUGGGUCCCCAGGGCACACGUCUCAUCCUCCCCUCAGUGACCCACAUUCCUGUUUCCGGAAUCACUGGUGCUAUGACCUGGGAACCCAAAGGGGGACCAAAGCUGUGAUUCUUGCAGAAGGCUUCCCCAGGUGCACCGACCCCCAGGGGGAGGUGAUUAGAUGUUAGCCGCGCCCAUGUCACUGUUGCUGUCCUCUAAGUACUGGCUCAAAUUCACCCUAAGUGGGUGACUCAGCAGCCUCGACAGGGACCCACCAGCAAAGGAAGACCAAAAGGAGUAACACGUGGAGCUCGGGGAAGCAGGCGCCAGAGCCGCAGCCAGUGCCCCGGAUGAGGUCUCCGACCUCGGCCCUACAAGUGCGGGGUACACUGUUUCCAGUGUGUGUGGUCCCACCAGUGUAGCUGGGGGGGAGCAGGCACACCCGCCCUCUGCUGCCCGUUCUGGCCACGCACACCAGUCCCAACCUCCAAAGAGCCCCUUUGCUGCCACGCUACAACCCUGGGGAGCACCUAGGAGUGGAUUUCCCCGGGGAGGGGGGGCAGCAGAGGCCUCCUGGUGUAUUCCGACGGUGUCACCUCCGUCACCUUCGUGCCCUCCCCAGAAGCUCGCCCUGAGCCUCCACUGAGAUUCUGUGCCUGACUUAAACAACUAAUUUUAAUUGAAUCAGACUGUUACUAACCUGUGGCUAACUUGUCAAUAACUGUUUGAUUUUUGUCCAAAUGGCGAAGCCAGUGGGUAGGUCAAGUACAGAGGUUCAGGGUUUGAUUUUAGAAGAUUCUCCCUCAAGACAAGUGGGAGGAUCGGCAAGAUCACGUAUCCAUGAACUUGAACUCCAAAGACGGUACUAAUGCUUUGCCAAACCCACGGAUUGCCAGCUGCCACUCUCCACUCACUCAGCGCCGUCACCGCCCCCCCCCCC